GAUGAACGCUGACAGAAUGCUUCACACAUCAGCAAUUGAUUGGUGGCGGACGGGUGAGUAACGCGUAAAGAACUUACCUCACAGUUAGGGCCAACAUUUGGAAACGAAUGCUAAUACCUAAUACUGUGCGAGAGCUUUGCGUCCCAUUAGCUAGUUGGAGAGGUAACGGCUCACGAAGGCGCUGAUGGGUAGCCGGCCUGAGAGGGUGCUCGGCCACAAGGGGACUGAGACACCGCCCUUACGCCUACGGGAGGCAGCAGUGGGGAAUAUUUGACAAUGGACCAAAGUCUGAUCCAGCAAUGCUGUGUGCACGAUGAAGUUUUCGGAAUGUAAAGUGCUUUCAGUUGGGAAGCGGUACCAACAGAAGAAGUGACGGCUAAAUACGUGCCAGCCGCCGCGGUAAUAC
rnacentral:rRNA from 1 species